rnacentral:pre_miRNA from 1 species
CGUGCACCGGUGGGGUCCCUUGGCCUGGCCUGUGGGGAUCGGCUCUCCGACAUCUCCUGAGGGGUCCUGGAUUGCGAGAGGGUGCAGGCCAGGCCGAGGGACCCCACUGGUGCAUG